CCACUAUCAACUUCUCCAAACUCACAGAGGGAGACCUCAGGCUGGGUCUAGCAAGAUGUUGUAGUAUCCGGUCUAAAGUGGAGCUGUCAGUCUGGGAUCAGCCUGAGGAUCUUAAUCUCUUCUUUACUGCUACCUGCCAAGAUGGGGUAUCCUAUCCUGGUCAGAGGAAGUGUGAGGGUCUGAAGAUUGGGGACACGGCAUCUUUUGAAGUAUCAGUGGAGGCCCGAAGCUGUCCCAGCAGACACACGGAGCAUGUGUUUGCCCUGCGGCCGGUGGGAUUCCGGGACAGCCUGGAGGUGGGGGUCACCUACAACUGCACGUGCGGCUGCAGCGUGGGGCUAGAACCCAACAGCGCCAGGUGCAGCGGGAGCGGGACCUAUGUCUGCGGCCUGUGUGAGUGCAGCCCCGGCUACCUGGGCACCAGGUGUGAGUGCCAGGAUGGGGAGAACCAGAGCGUGUACCAGAACCUGUGCCG
rnacentral:sRNA from 1 species